rnacentral:rRNA from 1 species
UGGGGAAUAUUGCACAAUGGGCGCAAGCCUGAUGCAGCCAUGCCGCGUGUAUGAAGAAGGCCUUCGGGUUGUAAAGUACUUUCAGCGGGGAGGAAGGGAGUAAAGUUAAUACCUUUGCUCAUUGACGUUACCCGCAGAAGAAGCACCGGCUAACUCCGUGCCAGCAGCCGCGAUAAUACGGAGGGUGCAAGCGUUAAUCGGAAUUACUGGGCGUAAAGCGCACGCAGGCGGUUUGUUAAGUCAGAUGUGAAAUCCCCGGGCUCAACCUGGGACCUGCAUCUGAUACUGGCAAGCUUGAGUCUCGUAGAGGGGGGUAGAAUUCCAGGUGUAGCGGUGAAAUGCGUAGAGAUCUGGAGGAAUACCGGUGGCGAAGGCGGCCCCCUGGACGAAGACUGACGCUCAGGUGCGAAAGCGUGGGGAGCAAACAGG